rnacentral:tRNA from 1 species
GUGGCUGUAGCGUAGCCGGUUAACGCGCCAGUUUGUGGCACUGGAGAUCGUGGGUUCGAAUCCCAUCAGCCACCCCA